GAUGAACGCUGGCGGCGUGCUUAACACAUGCAAGUCGAACGAGAAAUGGAGACGGACACCUUCGGGCGGAAGGCUUCAUUUCGAGUGGCGGACGGGUGAGUAACGCGUGGGUAACCUGCCUCAUACAGGGGGAUAACAGUUGGAAACGACUGUUAAUACCGCAUAAGACCACAGCACCGCAUGGUGCGGGGGUAAAAACUCCGGUGGUAUGAGAUGGACCCGCGUUCGAUUAGCCAGUUGGCGGGGUAACGGCCCACCAAAGCGACGAUCGAUAGCCGAUCUGAGAGGAUGACCGGCCACAUUGGGACUGAGACACGGCCCAAACUCCUACGGGAGGGAGCAGUGGGGAAUAUUGCACAAUGGGGGAAACCCUGAUGCAGCGACGCCGCGUGAGUGAAGAAGUACUUCGGUAUGUAAAGCUCUAUCAGCAGGGAAGAAAAUGACGGUACCUGAGGAAGAAGCCCCGGCUAACUACGUG
rnacentral:rRNA from 1 species